rnacentral:rRNA from 1 species
AACAACAGGAUUGCCUUAGUAACGGCGAGUGAAGCGGCAAAAGCUCAAAUUUGAAAUCGGCCUCCAGGUCGAGUUGUAAUUUGUAGAUUGUAUUUUGAGAGCGGAUUAAAGUCUGUUGGAACACAGCGCCUUAGAGGGUGACAGCCCCGUAAAAUCUAUUCUCAUUGUAAGAUACUUUCGAAGAGUCGAGUUGUUUGGGAAUGCAGCUCUAAGUGGGAGGUAAAUUCCUUCUAAAGCUAAAUAUUGACGAGAGACCGAUAGCGAACAAGUACUGUGAAGGAAAGAUGAAAAGCACUUUGAAAAGAGAGUGAAAAAGUACGUGAAAUUGUUAAAAGGGAAGGGUAUUGAAUCAGACUUGGUGCUGUUGUUCAACUGUGUUUCGGCAUAGUGUACUCAGCAGUACUAGGCCAAGGUGGGGUGUUUGGGAGUGAAAAAGAAGUAGGAACGUAACUCUUCGGAGUGUUAUAGCCUACUUUCAUAGCUCCUCAGGCGCCUCAGGACUGCGCUUCGGCAAGGACCUUGGCAUAAUGAUUCUAUACCGCCCGUCUUGAAACACG